AGAGAGAUAAGCCUUACAGUUGCUGAUCUAGAAGCAUUAGGCAAGAGUGUCUGAGAACGAUGGUAUGAUCUGCAACACUGUCUUUUUUUAUUACUGAUUUAUUACUGACUAUCUAUUUCUUUCUUUGUUGUUAUUCAACAAGAGAGAACUCCCAUUAAUGGGAAUCAAAAGGAAACCCUGAAAUAAUUUUUUAAGGAUGGAAUGACACGAGUUGGUUCAGAAUUAAUACCAAGAGCUGCAUCAGCUACUGGUUUGGACACCAGUGUCGUAGAAAUAAGAACUGGAUUGGUAAUUACAAAAGAUCGCAAAUGACCAAUGCUUCGUCUGAGCCCCGGCCAUCAAAGGCCAAAGUUCACAUUAGAGAGCUGUCGCCUUACAAUCUUUUUUGUAGGGACAUAUUCAAAAACAAAGAUGGAGGCAAUUUGUGCUGUGUCUGCUGCGUCCAUUUUGAUGAUAAGAAGAAGAAUGCAAGACAGAAGUGGAGUUCAUGGUCUCAGUGCACAGUGUGCCAAUCAUGGUCACACACAGCAUGUGGCUUAAAAAGAACAUGUGCCUUCACUGCCAGUGUCAAGACACCAUGCAAACACCCUGAAGAUGUAUCUUGUUACUUGUUUGGGUUGUUUUUACUGUGUUGACGGCCCCCAACCCAACCAUCCAAAAACACACACACACACACACACAAUACAUACAUAUGCUGCAAAUUCAUUGUAAUGACCACACUUCACACGUAAGAAGAAAAUUGUGAUCUUUUUGUUAUUUUCUUUCACCCCAAUUUUUAUUAAUUGUUGUUUGUUGGCACCAUCAAUGUGGUCUCCUUUAUACAGGACUUAUGUGGGGACCAAUAAAGUUACAUUGUACUGAAUUGAGUCUACAUGCAUGAGACAUGAGUCUACAUGCUUUUUAUAUAUACACCUGUUUCAUCAUUGGUUCAGUAGGGCUGGGUUUUAGCAAGGACCUCACCAUAAUAUUCACAACAGUGGGUCAGAGUAUGAUUUCAUGUUAUGAUUAGAUGCUUCACAUAACUUAACAUGUUUCACAGUUUUGCUGUCACUAGGAGAUGCUUGGCAAAAAAUAUAUUGAAAAGAUGGUUACUGGUACUUGUAGAAACUUUGGUAUACAGCUGAACACUACAAUUUAUUUAUUUUAAAUUUAAAUGGUUUCUAUGGCAUUGCUUACUUCCACUCUGAAGUAUUUUCUUCACAAUUACUGUUAUGCUUUUAUUUUAAUGAUAAACAUUUAAGAGAAAAUGUGAAGGGUAUCAUUUUAUCUGUGUUAAGGAUAUCAAUUGUUUCUCCUUGGAUUCAGAUAAAUAAAGUUUAUUGUCAGUUUAUG